rnacentral:rRNA from 1 species
GAUGAACGCUGGCGGCGUGCUUAACACAUGCAAGUCGAACGAGAAGUGAAGACGGAACCCUUCGGGCGGAAGGCUUUAUUUCGAGUGGCGGACGGGUGAGUAACGCGUGGGUAACCUGCCUCAUACAGGGGGAUAACAGUUGGAAACGACUGUUAAUACCGCAUAAGACCACAGCACCGCAUGGUGCGGGGGUAAAAACUCCGGUGGUAUGAGAUGGACCCGCGUUCGAUUAGCCAGUUGGCGGGGUAACGGCCCACCAAAGCGACGAUCGAUAGCCGAUCUGAGAGGAUGACCGGCCACAUUGGGACUGAGACACGGCCCAAACUCCUACGGGUGGCAGCAGUGGGGAAUAUUGCACAAUGGGGGAAACCCUGAUGCAGCGACGCCGCGUGAGUGAAGAAGUAUUUCGGUAUGUAAAGCUCUAUCAGCAGGGAAGAAAAUGACGGUACCUGAGUAAGAAGCCCCGGCUAACUACGUG